rnacentral:rRNA from 1 species
UGGGGAAUCUUGCGCAAUGGGCGAAAGCCUGACGCAGCGACGCCGCGUGAGGGAAGAAGGCCUUCGGGUUGUAAACCUCUUCAGGAGGGACGAAGCCACUCGGGUUAAUAGCCCAGAGGGUGACGGUACCUCCAGAAGAAGCCCCGGCUAACUACGUGCCAGCAGCCGCGGUAAUACGUAGGGGGCUAGCGUUGUCCGGAUUUAUUGGGCGUAAAGAGCGUGUAGGCGGCCAGGUAGGUCUGCUGUGAAAACUCGAGGCUCAACCUCGAGACGUCGGCGGAAACCAUCUGGCUAGAGUCCGGAAGAGGAGAGUGGAAUUACUGGUGUAGCGGUGAAAUGCGCAGAUAUCAGGAAGAACACCCGUGGCGAAGGCGGCUCUCUGGGACGGUACUGACGCUGAGACGCGAAAGCGUGGGGAGCGAACAGGAUUAGAUACC